rnacentral:lncRNA from 12 species
GGAUUAGGACGUGAACUAUCUUUUGUGGGGAGGACACCGUUUAACUCACUGUAGUACGUGAUACCACAAAUGCGCUAUAUAUUUAUAUUGGCAUAUUGUCACCUUGUAAUUAUCAAGAAAAACAACAUUAGAGUCAUUUAAAGUCAAUAAAUGGAAAAACAGCAUCUGCUAAAAUGAGUUGGAGACUCGUUCAUCUGUAUUCCUUUUUAUUGGUUUGUAAUUUUAACAAAUGCUUCCAUUACUAAAGUCCCUGGUCACGUCCUUCUAAACUAAAUAUAAUACAAAAGUUUAAGAAGCUAAUAAUUCUCUUACAGAUGACCGAAAGAUGAACCUUAUGCUUAGCAGAGUAACACUGGAUAUAAUACGGUCUUACCAGCUAUCCCCAUUAAUUGAUCAUACUUCCUAAACUUAAUUCUUUGACCUAUGUUUUAUAAUAUUAUUGUUUCAGAUAUCAUCACUAUGGAUUGAGCUGGUUUCUUGUCCCAAGAGUUUAGAGUGCUAACACAUGUUAAAUCUGUCCUAGGCAAAAGGAGCCCAGAACCAUGUGGACAUGAUUUGAAUAAAGAAGAUUCACCCAUGAAUUUGAGAGAUAGCAUCAGAGAACAUGAACACAAUGGCGAGUUCAAAUGAGCCUGGAAAGUCACUGUUUCUCAUCCACUACUGAUGGUGAAAAAAACAGCAAGAAAUGUUAAAUGAAACAACCCAGAAACACUUAUUGCCUUGUCGUGGAAGUACUCUAAGGUAAUUAAUCCUGCAUGGAGAAGCUUGGGGCCCAUUAAACUGAGAGUCAAUUAGACUGGAGAUCACUGAGACAUAAAUUACUCACUAGAGACUUGGAUUGGGUAAAAUUGAG